ensembl:lncRNA
CUUUGGAGCCUGCCCAGUACUGCUGGCUCUGCUCGUUGCCUUGUUUAUUCCGGAGCAUACUAAUUUAAGUUUAAGGUCCAGCAGUUGGAGGAAGCAUUGUGGUGGUUACAGCCAUCCUCACAGUACACAAGCGCCAGGAGAGGCCAAAGAACCUUUACUCCAGGACACGAAUGUGUGACUGAAAUCAGGAAGACUUCUCUCAGCUCACCCAGGUCUUAGUUUUCACCUGUAGUUCUGGACGUACAUUCCAUCCCCAUCUCCAAUGUACUUUAAGAUUGUCUUAAGAAAUACCUGCAUGAACUCCGUGGGAACUAAAGAAAGAACCGGACAGUUUUCCAAAGAUGUUACAAUUUCUUUCGAAAAGAAACCUUUUGUUUAUAUUAGCACCACUCUCUUGCCACUAAACUGUUUUAUUACACAUCUUUAAUUAAAGCUAUAUAUGUAACUCCGCUGUCAGCACGUCUCUGCCAUUUCCUUAGGUGUUGAGCCUUUACCUGCUCAUGCUGACUCAGUGACACAGUAGGCGGGAUGGUUAUGGACCUGUUUGCUUUAACAUUGUAAAACCUGAGUCAUUGUAAAAUCUUGGGUCAAUAAUUCAAAGCCUUAAUGCAGAUGCACUAGAAUAAAGAAAUGGUAAAGAAUUGUUUGCAUUUAAAAGAACUUGUGAAAAUUGUAGAAAAUCAGAAUCAUGUUUCAAGCCUGUUUGCCAUAAUUUUAUUUAAAACCUUCACUGCUGUCUGAAGUAUGAAUAUAUCAGCCACUGACGAUCUAAGUUGGGGCAGCCAGAGCCUGUGCAUCCGUGUUCUGGCCCAAUUCGUGUAAAUUUGCUCUGCUUCUUAUUCCACUAUUCCUUUGAUGUUUGCAUAAUCAUAAGGACCUCAACACUUGAAUACAUAAUCUAAAAAUUCUAUAGUAAAGCUGGUAGCCUUGAAAAUGUCAAUGUGAUAUCUAUAUGUAGAUAAAUAUAUAUAGUGGCCUUUCAGGACUGUCACGGUAACACUUUAUUUACAGAGCUAAUGUUUGUCCUAAAUUUUCAGGACCCUAGAAGAGAGCUUUAUACAAUUACUGAUGUGAAUUUCUCUAAAGUGUAUAUUUUUGUGUCCAGUUAUAUUAUUUAAAAAAGUGUU